rnacentral:lncRNA from 1 species
AUGUUUUCACAGACACGGCCGACCUUUUUGACACACGAUUCCCAACUAACAGCAGAAAUUCCACAACGUGGGCCCGCAAGGCUGCUAGGGCUGGCGGAGCUGCUUUCUCAAACUUUCUCGGGGACAGUCGCAGCGCGGGGGCCCAGUGACUCACGGCCAAGGAGCGAGCGAGUGUGCAGAGAUGGAGGCAGCGGGCGUCUGAAGAACGAAGAGCCAGGGGGCUGGAGCCCGCACGACAACCACACAAAUACGAGGCGCGCUGGUCAGGUCGUCCGCCUGGCCCAGGUCACCCUCGCUUCAUUUUCUCCAACAGAUAACUUCCUCCCCUCUGCGCCCAGCCUGUCCUUUCGCGGACUUGCGUGUGUGAUUUCAGUGCACAGGCCCACAAACCCCACUGUUUCUGACUGCAAAGCCUGCUGCAUUUCCCUGCGCCUGUCAACUCCAGGACAGGCCAGCUCGAGAGUCUAUCGGCUGUAUCAUUCUGCCACCGCAUAAGCGCUCAAUCCCUUUGGUCUCACAAAUUGCGAAGUGCAUGGCACCACUGGCUGAUCAUGAGUCACAGUCACUGAGGCCUGGUGACUCUGGCCUGGGCAAACCAAGCAACGGGAGGCCAGGGUGGGGUUGACCGAGCUGCGACAUCACACAAGCUUCGUUCCGGGGCCCAGCCUGGCCGUGCCGCGUGGGGUGGACAGAAGAGUAGCUACCUCACUCGGUUCUGAAGGUUAGAAACUGUAUGGAGGUGGUCCGUGCAUACCAGCUCUUCUUACUUCCAAAGAAGGAUGCUAAUCCUGGCAGGCAGUGGCACUAAGUUGGGGGCUCAAAAGAACAACUGUGAUACAUGAAAAGGACUCCAAAAGGUACCAGGUGAGGGCGCGUACCUGCAGGUUUUCCACAAGGGACAAGGAAAUCGAUUUAUUUUCUGAGUGGAAAGAAUCACCAGCUAUGGUCAGGAGCCCCAACCCUCACACUAGUGCCCAGGUCUACAACAAAGACUUUGCAGCAAGACACCAAACUCACCCCUCCACGCCUUCCCGGGGCCCCUCCCAGCCCAGGAGGCCGUGGGCAGGCUGCACUGGUGCAGGCCCUGCCUGUGGCAGGACCGUGCUGUCCCCAUGGGACUCCCAAGGCCAUUCUCUCAGCUGGAGGCCAGAUCUGAAUUGCUUGAGAGUAGAUCCACUUUCUAGAAAAUCUGGAUAAUGACUUUCAUUUUUCCCAGAUGGGGAAAGUAUCGGCAUGCCCAUGUCACUGUUUAAUUAAUUAAUUUUUAUUUCAAUCAAAGUAAUAUAUACACAUGGCUAGAAAUCAAACCACACUAAAAGUCUCCUAAUGGUCUUGUAAAAAAAGACUAAAAAUAGUCUUCUAAGAGUCUUCUAACAUAAACCAGCAGUCCACUUGCCUGCUUCCCCAGAGGCAGCUUCCUUUGGAUUUCUACCUAAUAUCUACAUCUUGCUGUUUCUGGAUCCAUAAGCUUUAUGUCUGCAAACUUAUUAUAGGAGGGUCAUACUGUUGUCAUCCCCAACCUCCCCAAACACUAAAAUCACAUUUUUUGUUAAACUAGUAGUCAGUGUUUACCUUGUUCUGACAAUGUAAAUAUUGUUAACUGCUCAGCCAAUAAUACUGUGUAUGUUUCCUUUAUUAUACAACUUUGUUUGUCUUGGAGAUAUUGGCUAUCUUUUAUUAGUCUUCUGUGUAGCUACUAUAAUCCGCCCCCCAAAUACUUCAAAGAUUUGUCAAAAACCUACUGGGAUUUUUUCCAAAUUCUAAAACACUUCAAAUAGUCUCAAUUCUAUUUAUUGACCUACUUAUAUACCUUACUAGAAUUCAUCAUCCAGUACUCUGGAGGGGCUGUGGGUUGGGGGUACAUAUGUCUAAAACUACCUAUCUCUACCUUGACAGUUUAGCUGGGUAUAGAAUCCUAAGUUGAAGAUAAUUUUCUCAAGUUGAAUUGUCAAGACAUUUCUCCACUAUUUUCAACUUUCUGUGCAGUCCAGCUCUGAGUCCUAAUUCUUACUAAAUGGCUCACUUUGUUCUGAAAUUUCACAAUGAUAUGGCUCAGAGUGGGUCUUUUUCAUACAUUAUGCUGAGCACUGGGGGGGACACAUCCAGUUCGAAGGUUUAAGUCAUAAGCUUAGGAACACACUUUCCCAAAUGGAAACUCUCCCUUGCACUUGUUGUCUAACCUCUCCACCAUUUACCAUCAUCACCAGCACCACCAUGACCCUCAAUAUUCACUUUUAGAAUUCCUACCAGAUGGCUACUGAAGCCCUGGACCCAAGUGUCUCAUUUUCUUACUUGUUCUUUUUUACUGUCCUGUCUUUGUCUUUAUGUGCUACAUUCUGAGACAGACCGCUUUUCAAGUCUUACAUAGAAUUUUAAAUUUUGGCUAUAUUUUCCAUAGGAAAGAAUUCAUUGUGACUUAUUGUUCUCAGUAGCAUCUUGACGUUUGAUGUUUGCAGUAUCUGAGGAUCUGAGAAUAGCAAAGAAUAGUUCUUUGAACUCCUUGUGUUUCCUGCUGUCUUUAUUUCUACCAAGUUCCUAUUUUCUGUUGUUUCACUCUUAAUUAUGCUGGAGACUUCUCUAGUGUCUAGGGAAGCGUGGCUGUUGAUUCAUUAUACGCGAGCGAGGAACUAAAAAGAUCAUAAGUUCUUAGCAUGGCAGGGGCAUGGAGCCUGGCGGGCUUUGAUGAGAGACAGCGAGUGUGCCUGUUCAUCGAGAGAAUCUCAAAAGUGCUGGUGCUGGAGGCCUUUCCACAAGGAUCAUUCGUUCUUUUCUGAAAAGAAUAUUUCAGUCUGCUCUGUAAGGGGUCUGUAAGCUGAUACUGAGGGGUCUGAGAAUCUUGUUACUCAGUAUGUAGACUCCUGAGAGGAACCCAAAUCUCUUGCCCACACCCUGCUAUUUUCAGCUGCCAGCAUCCCUGGACCCAUGUUAGGCUGCAGCUCCCGUGCCCAGAGCCUUUAUGGGACACUCCCUAGUCUUCCCGUGUCUUGUGGCGGUGAGAGGUGACCAUCUGGCCAUGCAGGGCUGGGGAGCAGCUCCGAGAACCUGAGUACCCUUUUACUGGAUGGCAGGCGAUCCCCAGGAGUCAGCCACAGCCUUUCCCUGCUUCUGCGGUGCCAAAGCCUUGGGCUUCUGAGCUUUCACCAAGUUCUGAGAAGCACACGGGCCCUCUCUCAGAAGUGAGGCUUUGCACCCUCGUUUCCACUUUGAGCAACUGGACUGAGAUCUGAUGCGAACCUUCCUUUGUGGCCCACCACGGGCUCCUUUUGGGUCACCUUUGCCCUGUGCAUCUUCACUUCCAAAACAACCUCUCAUUCCAGUGGGGCUGCGGGAUGGAGAUAAAUAUAAGCCUUUAAACAAUCUCUUUUUUGGGCACCAGGGAUCCAACUCAGGACCUUGUGCUUGUGAGGCAGGUGCGGUGCCACUGAGCUAAAUCCCUGGCCUCAAACAUUAAUUAGUUUUAAUCAGAAUCUAUUUUGUCCAUCUUUCAGAUGACACAACUGUGGCACAGGUUAAAUAACUAGGUCACACAGCAGGUGAGUGACCGAGCCAGGAGAAGAACCCAGAUCUUCAAAUUUCCUCGUUGAAAUGUUUUUCCCAUCACAUGGACAUCCAGUAGAGGAACCCAUAAUUAAGAACCGACAGACAAGUUUUGGGCACUAGGCUGAAAAACUAUUUAAAAUUUGUUGCAGCUGGGCAUAGUGGCACAGGCCUGUAAUCCCUGAGCACUCAGGAGGCUGAGGCAGGCGGAUCACAAGUUCAAGGCCAGCCUGAGCUACAUAAUAAGUUUAAGGCCAGAUUGAACUACACAGUGAGACCCUGUCUCAAACAAAAAUAAAUAAAUAAAAUGUGUUGAAAACUACAGGUCUCGAAUCUUAAAAUAUUGCUGCUGAUGAAGAAAUGAAUAACCAAACUCCAAAUUCUUAACUCCCGUUACACCAGUGCAUCUUAAAGUUUAAUUAUAAACAGAUAUUAUUAAACAAAAAUAAUUUGGGAUAGUCUCAUUAAACUCUUAAGUUCCUGAAUUCAAUGAAAAGAGAUUUUACAUGAUUCUAUGAAAUGUCUUUGUCCUUUUCUUUUGGUUAACUUUUAUAGUA